UACGGGGGGAGCAAGCGUUGUUCGGAUUUACUGGGCGUAAAGGGCGCGUAGGCGGUCGUGACAAGUCACUUGUGAAAUCUCCGGGCUUAACUCGGAACGGUCAGCUGAUACUGCUGUGCUAGAGUACAGAAAGGGCAAUCGGGAAUUCUUGGUGUAGCGGUGAAAUGACGUAGAUAUCAAGAGGAACACCUGAGGCGAAGGCGGGUUGCUAGGCUGAUACUGACGCUGAGUGCGCGAAAGCUAGGGUAGCAAACGGG
rnacentral:rRNA from 1 species